UACGUAGGGUGCGAGCGUUGUCCGGAUUUAUUGGGCGUAAAGAGCUCGUAGGCGGUCUGUCGCGUCGGAUGUGAAAACCCAGGGCUCAACCCUGGGCCUGCAUUCGAUACGGGCAGACUAGAGUACGGCAGGGGAGACUGGAAUUCCUGGUGUAGCGGUGAAAUGCGCAGAUAUCAGGAGGAACACCGGUGGCGAAGGCGGGUCUCUGGGCCGAAACUGACGCUGAGGAGCGAAAGCGUGGGGAGCAAACAGG
rnacentral:rRNA from 1 species